rnacentral:misc_RNA from 1 species
UUUCCGUAGGUGAACCUGCGGAAGGAUCAUUAUUGGAUUUUGAAACUUCAGGCUGCUGCUGGCUCUCCUCGGAGGGCAUGUGCACGCUUGUUGUCCAUUAUUUCUCCCACUGUGCACAAAUUGUAGACCUUUCAGUAGACCUAUGUUGUUUUUCACAAUCUCUGAAUGUAAUAGAAUGGUUUUGAAUCUUGGGAAAUACAAUACAACUUUCAGCAACGGAUCUCUUGGCUCUC